rnacentral:rRNA from 2 species
AGUCGAGCGGACAGAAGGGAGCUUGCUCCCGGAUGUUAGCGGCGGACGGGUGAGUAACACGUGGGUAACCUGCCUGUAAGACUGGGAUAACUCCGGGAAACCGGAGCUAAUACCGGAUAGUUCCUUGAACCGCAUGGUUCAAGGAUGAAAGACGGUUUCGGCUGUCACUUACAGAUGGACCCGCGGCGCAUUAGCUAGUUGGUGGGGUAAUGGCUCACCAAGGCGACGAUGCGUAGCCGACCUGAGAGGGUGAUCGGCCACACUGGGACUGAGACACGGCCCAGACUCCUACGGGAGGCAGCAGUAGGGAAUCUUCCGCAAUGGACGAAAGUCUGACGGAGCAACGCCGCGUGAGUGAUGAAGGUUUUCGGAUCGUAAAGCUCUGUUGUUAGGGAAGAACAAGUGCGAGAGUAACUGCUCGCACCUUGACGGUACCUAACCAGAAAGCCACGGCUAACUACGUGCCAGCAGCCGCGGUAAUACGUAGGUGGCAAGCGUUGUCCGGAAUUAUUGGGCGUAAAGGGCUCGCAGGCGGUUUCUUAAGUCUGAUGUGAAAGCCCCCGGCUCAACCGGGGAGGGUCAUUGGAAACUGGGAAACUUGAGUGCAGAAGAGGAGAGUGGAAUUCCACGUGUAGCGGUGAAAUGCGUAGAGAUGUGGAGGAACACCAGUGGCGAAGGCGACUCUCUGGUCUGUAACUGACGCUG